AUGGAACAGGCACAGUUAUUUACACCUAAGAGGAGGGGAGUCCACGGGAUCCACACUGUAACCAGGAUAACACCAUACCUGUCUCAACACCCAGGAGAAACAGCAUGUGGUGGCUCAGAGGUUGUGAUUUCCAUAGAGAUAAUUAUAGUUACCCUGUCUGUAAUUGCUACUACUACCACCACAAAACACGAACUCUUAGACCAGGACAUGACAAGAAAUAACCACACUUCAGUUAUAUUCCUACAAGCCGAAUUCCAGGUUUGCAGUAUCCUGUUUCAGGAUUCCAAAGAAAGAAAAUGCCCCCUCCAGUUUUGUUAGCGUUCCUUCAAUUAUUACAAUCAAUUGCAACCAUAAGAGGAAUGCUUCUCCACUAGUCCCACUGACGGUUUCAGAUUCUGAGGGCAGCUCAGGGAAAAAUUGAUACAUACACAAUUCAGAUAACAGGAGAAGUCAGGUAAGCUCUGAAUAAGCAAACAGAUUUGGGGGCC
rnacentral:lncRNA from 1 species